rnacentral:rRNA from 1 species
UUUACCCUACUGAUGAAUGUUAUCGCAAUAGUAAUUGAACUUAGUACGAGAGGAACCGUUCAUUCAGAUAAUUGGUUUUUGCGGCUGUCUGACCAGGCAGUGCCGCGAAGCUACCAUCUGCUGGAUUAUGGCUGAACGCCUCUAAGUCAGAAUCCAUGCCAGAAAGAGGUGAUCCUCCCCUGCACAUCGUAGUCGGAUACGAAUAGGCCU